UCGGAGGCGGGAGACCUCUCGUAAACCAUAACAUCGAAGAGAAGCAGCGAAGACGAAGGAAAGAGGUUACCGCUUGAAUACUCUUCUCCAUUUGAAUUCUCAAGUUCAUUCUCCAGUCUCGAGUUCUCUGCUUUCAUGGAGUUACAGCAGGAGCAAACACCGUCGGAAUCCAUAGAAGAUUCUUUGAAGCUCUUGAAGGACGAGCAGCGUCUUGCUGGCCUUUUCUUAGUCUCUAAAAUUUGCGAGGUGGACGAUCGUGCCUCGCUUACUAGAGUUUACUAUGCUGUUGGAGAGAAGUUUCUUGGCACUGGUAAGGAAUUAUUAGUUGACCUGGAGAGGAGAAUUGCGAUGUGUAUUUGUAGCUGUAUGUUAGGAUUUUGGCUUGGCUGCGUUUUUUCAUGUUCCUGAGAUUUCUGGAGAUCGUCUCGGAGAUUCUGCUGAUACUAGAGGCCUAAUCCAGCCAAUGCGUCGGCUAUCCGUAUACUUUCUGUUGAUUAUUGACGGUAACUAGAACGAUCACUUAUCCUCCUUAUUCCUUUGACUAUUGAUGUUCUGUUGAGAUAAUGUAUUAGAUUGAUCACAAGGCACGACAUCAGAUUUGCAAUAUAAUUAUUUACUUCAUUGUCCUGAAUUAACCACGAAUUCACUUCUGCUCUGUGGAUUUAGGUUCUUACCAUUAGGAAAUAAUCGAUUUAAUCGUGGACAAGAUUUUCCAGAGAGAGAUAUACAUUAUGCUUUCUUUUCUGGUCUGAGCUCCUUAAUCGAUGUUUCUCUUAUUGUUUAUGCAAGGUCAGGAUCUUCCGUUUUGGAGGAGCGUUUUGAAUUUUUAUAUCUUGUAUCAACUGCUUCCGUUGUUGGAGUCUCCAUUCUAUAUAAAUCUGGAUUCUGAAAUUAAUGGUGCUAACAGUAAAGAUUACGUGCGUAGUUUCUUGUCUAAUGCAUCAAUUGUAGGUUGAUUUAUCCAGUUGGACAUUCUUUUUGGUUUUAAUUAUCUUUCACUAAUUGCAGAAUUUUCUGCCAUGUUAGUUCUUGGUUUUUUCAUAAUUACAGAUUGUUAUUGUUUGGCUGAUGUGUUAUAUGUUUCAGACAUCACGUUAAAAUGUCUUUCGUGUCUAGUGCCCUCCAAUGUUUGGUCCAAACAUAUGCGUGAUGGAAUUUCAGCUAUCCUUCACGCAUUUUCUUCAGGCUCUUAGUUUGGCUGUGUCUAUGGUGUCUAUUCUAGGAGAAGUUUGGCUGAUAGGCGAAAUUGAAUUACCUGAUGUUCGAGAUCCUAUUCCAUCCGACAGUCAAGAGCUGAGAUCGGUAUGGUGCUGAAUGAACUGGCCCAUAUGAAAUAUGAUGCUUGAAAGAAUUUCUCCUUGAAGGAGAGUGUUAUCUUAAAGCAGCGGAAUGUGGCUACUGCCUUCUUUUUGGUGGAAAAGAUAAUUAAGUUGAUAUCAAAUGUUGGUGAAGAUCAAGGUUGUGAAAUGAAAAUGCCUUAUAAAUUUGAUUCACAAGCAUGGUGGCUGGAUUGACGACAAUGGAUCGGAUCCAUCUUUUUGGCUUGUUAUACAAUCUUGAUCGUGCUUCUGAAGAAGGAACUAGCUGAGCAUCUAUGUGGCGAAUCAUCUUUUGUUAGCCUUUUGGCAGCAGUUGCCAAAUUCGACUGGUAUCUUUCUUUGAUUAUUGCCUUCACCUGCAUGUUGGAUUAGUGCCUUUAAUUGAUGCCUCCAUGUUUAAAGAUACUACGUUAUGUUGCCUGCUUUAUUAGGGUCAU